rnacentral:rRNA from 1 species
AUUGAACGCUGGCGGCAUGCCUUACACAUGCAAGUCGAACGGUAACAGGUCUUCGGAUGCUGACGAGUGGCGAACGGGUGAGUAAUACAUCGGAACGUGCCCAGUCGUGGGGGAUAACGAAGCGAAAGCUUUGCUAAUACCGCAUACGAUCUACGGAUGAAAGCGGGGGAUCGCAAGACCUCGCGCGAUUGGAGCGGCCGAUGGCAGAUUAGGUAGUUGGUGGGGUAAAGGCUUACCAAGCCUACGAUCUGUAGCUGGUCUGAGAGGACGCCCAGCCACACUGGGACUGAGACACGGCCCAGACUCCUACGGGAGGCAGCAGUGGGGAAUUUUGGACAAUGGACGCAAGCCUGAUCCAGCAAUGCCGCGUGCAGGAUGAAGGCCUUCGGGUUGUAAACUGCUUUUGUACGGAACGAAAAGCUCUGGGUUAAUACCCUGGGGUCAUGACGGUACCGUAAGAAUAAGCACCGGCUAACUACGUGCCAGCAGCCGCCGUAA